UACAGAGGGUGCGAGCGUUGUCCGGAAUCACUGGGCGUAAAGGGCGCGUAGGUGGCGACCCAAGUCCAUGGUGAAAGCUCGAUGCUCAACAUCGAGUCGGCCACGGAUACUGGGUUGCUGGAGCACUGUAGAGGCAGAUGGAAUUCCGGGUGUAGCGGUGGAAUGCGUAGAGAUCCGGAAGAACACCGGUGGCGAAGGCGGUCUGCUGGGCAGUUGCUGACACUGAGGCGCGACAGCGUGGGGAGCAAAUGGG
rnacentral:rRNA from 1 species